rnacentral:sRNA from 1 species
AGAGUGAGACAAUUACGUGAGGAAUUUGACCGUGGGAUUGAUGUCUCUCUGGAGGAGGAGCACAGUGUUCAUGAUGUGGCAGCCUUGCUGAAAGAGUUCCUGAGGGACAUGCCGGACCCCCUUCUUACCAGGGAGCUGUACACAGCUUUCAUCAACACUCUCUUGUUGGAGCCGGAGGAACAGCUGGGCACCUUGCAGCUCCUCAUAUACCUUCUACCUCCCUGCAACUGCGACACCCUCCACCGCCUCCUACAGUUCCUCUCCAUCGUGGCCAGGCAUGCUGAUGACAACAUCAGCAAAGAUGGGCAAGAGGUCACUGGGAAUAAAAUGACAUCUCUAAACUUAGCCACCAUAUUUGGACCCAACCUGCUGCACAAGCAGAAGUCAUCAGACAAAGAAUUCUCAGUCCAGAGUUCAGCCCGGGCUGAGGAGAGCACGGCCAUCAUCGCUGUUGUGCAAAAGAUGAUUGAAAAUUAUGAAGCCCUGUUCAUGGUAGGUGGCCCUUCUGUGGCAGGACAUCACAGCAAACUGCCUAUUGGUUUCCUCUGGAGGCAGGAUGAAAUUCUAGUAGACCACCCUCUGGGGUGCAGUGCUGCUCACUGAAUUCAUUGGAAGUCAGUUUCAGCAGGAGUAGAAAUUUGCACAACUAUGAUGUCAUUUUGAGUUUGUGAUUCCAUGUUUAAACAAACAUACCAAAUUAUAAUUUUCAUUUUGUUGUCCUCUAAACCAUGGUCACAUUUUGGAGUCAUUUAAUUAUAAAGCAGUGUCCUUGCUCAAGACGUUAAUAAAACCCUUCUUUAUGGAAUUGUGUCCCUCAUGAAUUCAUGUAUUCAUAAG